rnacentral:ncRNA from 1 species
GGAGAAUCUUAGAUUUUCUUGAUGUUCUGUAAAUUACACAGCAAUGCAGCAACAGGAUGUUGCUGCAAACAAAAGCUGUGGCAUGGACGUCGCGUCUUUUGUGGUUGCGGGUAUAUUAUCUUUUGUUGGCAGAACAUUUAGAAAAUCUUAGAUUUGGA